UAGGCAUAGUAUCAAAAACCUUGAUACGAGAUCCCAAAAUUUGCCUCUUUGCCAAUAUUCGAGUGUCUUCAGAAAUCCCGAAAGUUUACACAUUGCGGAAAACUCUCGAAACAGAUCACGGAUAUAGCAGUUCACACAGAGUUAGAUUACGAGAUGACAACUCGUAGUCUUCCUACUACACCCAUAUAAAAUGCCAUCGGCAGCAACACGCCUGAUAACCUCUACAUAAAAAAGAGGAAAACAAGUCAUAAGAACCUCAACUCCAAGACGAACUACGGAAGGCUUGAUACCUUCAACAAGGGUACGUAGGCAGCCGUCAUUAGGCGCAGCCCCAAUUUUAUCGCGUUCUACUUUUAGAAGAGCGAGAAGACCACUUACCACGGAGUUUUUCGACCAUUAAUUCCGCUAACUCA
rnacentral:lncRNA from 1 species